CCCCUCAUAGCUCAACGGUAGAGCACUCGGCUGUAGAGGAUUAGCGUGGACAUUCCCUCGGGAAAAGGAUGAAACGCAAGCAGUGUGUGUUCGUUAGAACAUUGCAGAACCCGAGUUACCCAAGUUCGACUCUUGGUGAGGGGA
rnacentral:tRNA from 1 species